rnacentral:lncRNA from 1 species
AAUUUGAUACAAUGAUUCAAAUAUUCAAAAAAAAUUGGAUAAUUGUACCGCAGUACGAUUUUUCGUAAUUGACGACCAUUCAACCGUUGGAUUGUAACCAAACUUUGAGACAUUAUAGUACAUAAUAUUUGAGGACCUUAGGAACUUAUGGAUCGGGAAUCCGACGUACAGAUCUUCCCAAAUUGGAUUUGCAAGUUAGUAAAUUAAAAUGUCGACCACCACUCAAAUGUUGUGAUUGGCGGAGAUCCGACUGUUGGAUCGAAAUGAAAUUUUAGUAUGUUGUUCUAGAAGCAUAAUGUGAACUAUGAAUGGCUUCAUCCCUUAGUAGGGUACGUAGGCAGUCUAAC